GCUCUUGUUCCCCUCAGAGAGCAGGGUGUUCGCAUUCUCAACUAUCUAGACAAUUGGGUGAUACUAGCACAAUCUUGGGAUCAGUUGUGCGAGCACAGGGACCUGGUGCUCUGGCAACUCAGCCUGUUGGGCCUUCGGGUCAACUGGGAAAAGAGCAAACUCUCGCCGACGCAGAGGAUCUCUUUUCUCGGUAUGGAGUUGGAUUCGGUCGAACAGACAGCACACCUCACAGAGGAACGUGCGCGGUCGGUGCUAGCCUGCUUGAAUACAUUCGGCCUGUUACAUAUGAGACCGCUCCAGCACUGGCUUUAUGGCAGAGUCCCGAGGUGGGCGUGGAAGCGCGGCACUCACCGGGUCCAAGUUACACCGGCCUGUCGCCAAACCCUCACCCUUUGGUCAGAUCUUGCAGGGGUGCCCCUAGAGCAGAUCUCCAGGCAUUCUGUGGUUUACAUGGAUGCCUCCACCACCGGCUGGGGGGCCACGUACAAUGGGCAUGCAGUCUCAGGGGUUUGGACGGGCCCGCAGCUGCAGUGGCACUUCAAUUGCCUAGAGUUGUUAGCAGUGCGCCUUGCCUCGAAACUGUCUCAAAGGUCCCGUAUGAGGCAAGCACGUGCUGGUCCAAAUGGACAACACAGCGACCGUUGCGUACAUCAACUGAGAAGGUUGUCUGCGCUCCCGUCGCAUGUCACAACUCGCCCGCCACCUCCUCCUUUGGAGUCGGAAGGUUCUGAGGUCACUUCGUGCCGUUCACAUUCCGGGCCUGCUCAACCGUACAGCCGACGAGCUGUCUCGAGCAAUGAUCCCGGGAGAAUGGCGACUCCAUCCCCUGACGGUCCAGCUGAUUUGGAGACGGUUCGGAGCCGCUCAGGUAGACCUGUUUGCUUCUCCAGAGACCACUCACUCUGCCACUCCCACUCACUGCCAGUUGUUCUACUCCCUGACCGACGGAACUCUUGGCACGGACACACUGGCACACAGCUGGCCACAGGGCCUACGAAAAUACUCGCACAGACACUGUGCAAAGUCCGGAAGGAUGGGGAGCGAGUCUUGCUAGUGGCGCCGUAUUGGCCCACUCGGACCUGGUUCCCCGAACUAGUGCUCCUCGCCACAGCCCCUGUUUGGCCGAUUACUCUGAGGAAGGAUCUACUGACUCAGAGACGGGGCACCGUUUGGCACCCGCGUCCAGACCUUUGGCAACUCAAUGUCUGGUCCCUGGACCGCACGCGGAGGUUCUAGGUGACCUACCCCAGGAGGUAGUGAACACCAUCACUUCAGCAAGAGCACCGUCUACGAGACACGCUUACGCCUUGAAGUGGAACCUGUUUGUCGAGUGGUGUUGUUCUCGCCGAGAAGACCCCCAAAGAUGCCCGAUUGCGGUCCUGCUUUCCUUUCUUCAGCAAGGGCUGGAGCGAAGGCUGUCUCCCUCCACCCUCAAAGUCCAG
ensembl:lncRNA